AAUGAACGCUGGCGGCAGGCCUAACACAUGCAAGUCGAACGGAUCCUUCGGGAUUAGUGGCGGACGGGUGAGUAACGCGUGGGAACAUGCCCAAAGGUACGGAAUAGCCUCGGGAAACUGGGAGUAAUACCGUAUGUGCUCGAAAGAGGAAAGAUUUAUCGCCUUUGGAUUGGCCCGCGUUGGAUUAGGUAGUUGGUGGGGUAAUGGCCUACCAAGCCGACGAUCCAUAGCUGGUUUGAGAGGAUGAUACGCCACACUGGGACUGGGACCCGGGCCAGAAGCCUACGGGAGGCAGCAGGGGGGAAUCUUAGACAAUGGGGGAAACCCUGAUCUAGCCAUGCCGCGUGAUCGAUGAAGGCCUUAGGGUUGUAAAGAUCUUUCAGGUGGGAAGAUAAUGACUGUACCACCAGAAGAAGCCCCGGCUAACUCCGUGCCAGCAGCCGCGGUAG
rnacentral:rRNA from 1 species